rnacentral:lncRNA from 1 species
GGGCCUCUUUUGUUUAAUGCCGAACUCUUGUGCCCUGGGAGCAGACAGAUGGACGGACAGCACAGGAAAUGGACACAUGUCUCUGCAAUGGUCUUAUUGUCCUCUCUCCUCUCCAGAUUGAGUUUGUAACAGGCACCAAGAAAGGCACCACAACCAAUGCCACGGCCACCACCACCAGCACUGCCAGCACAGCUGUCGCAGAUGCCCAGAAGAGGAAGAGCAAAUGGGACUCGGCCAUCCCCGUGACGACAAUAGCGCAGCCCACCAUCCUCACCACCACAGCCACCCUGCCAGCAGUGGUCACUGUCACCACCAGUGCCAGCGGCUCCAAGACCACUGUCAUUUCUGCCGUGGGUACCAUCGUGAAGAAGGCCAAGCAGUGACCAGAGGACACCCCAGGACUUGGCAGGACUGUGCAACCCAGUAACUUCCACCCACUGGGAGGUGCCUUUGUUUGGGACUGAUACGCACUCCCCACAUGCCUUCCAAGAGGAGCCUCGGCAUUCCAGCCGGAAGGACGUCACAGCAGAGGCAGUGUGUGCAUUGGACAGGGUCUGUGCGCACACCUCUUGGGUCUCACCCAAUUAAAAGUACUGCUUCUUGGGUCCUGGCA